UACGUAGGGUGCGAGCGUUAAUCGGAAUUAUUGGGCGUAAAGAGCGUGUAGGCGGCCUGAUAAGUCGGCUGUGAAAGUCAAGGGCUCAACCCUUGAAUGCCGGCCGAUACUGUCAGGCUAGAGUCCGGAAGAGGCGAGUGGAAUUCCUGGUGUAGCGGUGAAAUGCGCAGAUAUCAGGAGGAACACCUAUGGCGAAGGCAGCUCGCUGGGACGGUACUGACGCUGAGGUGCGAAAGCGUGGGGAGCAAACAGG
rnacentral:rRNA from 1 species